UUCAGAUAAUAUAUAGAGUGCAAGCAUUUGAACAGCUCAAAGGUCAACUUCCCUUGCUAAUACAAGAUAGUUUGGAGUCUUAGGACGCAAAUUGUUGAAGUGGCUACAUCAUCCAGGUAAUGAUUGAGUAGGAUGUUUGUUUUUCACUCCUUCAAUUGACUUCUCCUUUUGCUAUAUUCUUUUUUUUCUCUUUCUUUUUCAUGUUGAUUAAUUGAUUUUUCUGAUAAAUACCAUUCUCUUGUAAUUGAGUUCAGUUUCUAUCUUUACCCAGCCUGCCUUGUGCUCUAACAAAUAGGUCCCUAUUUGAUGCAUCAUUCUCUGGAGUUUAUACAGCUCCGAUUGUUCUGUUUGAUUGGUGUGGUUAACGACUAAAGUAUCCUACACAACUCUGCCAUGUAGUGAACUCACAUGGUGGUUGACUAGGAUGAGAGUUAAAAAAAAAGCCUUAUUAUCUUUUUUUGCUUUAUUGAAUGAUGAAUCCAUUCUUUUUAGCAUUCAAAAGUCGAAGUGGGAGGGUUGGAGAGAUUAUUAAUUACAAAUUAUUAUUUCUUUUUUUAAGGUCAGGGAUGUAUUAAUUCGGGCUAUUAUCCCCUGCUGGAGUUUGAAGAAGUGCUAUUGGAGGAACUAUUUGAAGAAGCACUGACAAUUUUUCACAUCCAAACAUCCAACAGCUUGUGGUUUUGGCCACAGCAGAAGUUUCUAAUUGAAGUUAGAAUAGGCCGAGAAACUUGUUGCAGCAUUCAAUCACAGCAAAAGUUUUUGUUUUCCUAACAUUUAGCUUUUGGUUCUUGGAACAGAGAAGUUAGUUCAGAAGUCAGGCCAGACAACCGCGCUUUACUAGGUAUGCAAAAAAACCACUGAUCUUCUAAUUAAUUUCUCAGCAUUGACUUGAUAAUUAAAAUCCUUCUGUUAAACUAGAUUUAUACGCAAUGUAUUUAUCCAACCUUGAGAUUGGUUCUUUAUAGAUGUCGCCAGCUGUGAAAGGGAAUUCAAUCUUAAGGCACGCCACUAUCUUCUUCUCAGGUAUUAUCCUUGACCCACCGAAACAACGAAUAUCAUAUUGUUCUUGGUAGUUAUAUUGGAAACAAAGAAUACUAUAUUGUUCAUAAUAGUGCUUACGUUUUGUUGAUUCAAUGAAUGAAAGCGACAGCAUAUCGAAACCUUGAAUGAGUGCGGCUGCAGGAACCUGUUAGAGAAUGUUUGGAGGUAAGAUCUUUGUAUUGGGUCUUCUCAUGAUUAUUUCAAACUUUGUGCUUUUCACAAGUAAAUGAGGUAGUGUGUUUGUGAAGUUCUUUUCUUGCAAGCUGAAGCUUGGUAAGAACUUUUUAUCUCAUCGUUAUUAGAUAUUCACUUUUUCCUUUCUUUGAUCUUGCUGACGAUCAGAUUGCACAAAAA
rnacentral:lncRNA from 1 species